rnacentral:sRNA from 1 species
AUCGCUUCUCGGCCUUUUGGCUAAGAUCAAGUGUAGGGACAAGAAUGUAACCUGUAUGUAAAUCUGAAAUGCAUCUCUGGUUGCACUCUUCAGGAACUACUCAGUUAAAUACAGGCAGGGAAGGGACCUGUCACUGCAGCACAGACAGAAGCAUU